UACGUAGGGUGCAAGCGUUGUCCGGAAUUAUUGGGCGUAAAGAGCUCGUAGGCGGUUUGUCACGUCGGAUGUGAAACCCUGAGGCUUAACUCCGGGCCUGCAGCCGAUACGGGCAGACUAGAGUUCGGCAGGGGAGACUGGAAUUCCUGGUGUAGCGGUGAAAUGCGCAGAUAUCAGGAGGAACACCGGUGGCGAAGGCGGGUCUCUGGGCCGAUACUGACGCUGAGGAGCGAAAGCUAGGGGAGCAAACAGG
rnacentral:rRNA from 1 species